AGUAGUGUAGCUCAGUUGGUUAGAGCACUCGCUUGAUAAGCGAAAGGUCGGUGGUUCAAACCCACCCACUACUACCA
rnacentral:tRNA from 1 species